UUGCACGCUGGCGGCAGGCCUAACCCAUGCAAGUCGAGCGGAUGAAGGGAGCUUGCUCCUGGAUUCAGCGGCGGACGGGUGAGUAAUGCCUAGGAAUCUGCCUGGUCGUGGGGGAUAACGUCCGGAAACGGGCGCUAAUACCGCAUACGUCCUGAGGGAGAAAGUGGGGGAUCUUCGGACCUCACGCUAUCAGAUGAGCCUAGGUCGGAUUAGCUAGUUGGUGGGGUAAAGGCCUACCAAGGCGACGAUCCGUAACUGGUCUGAGAGGAUGAUCAGUCACACUGGAACUGAGACACGGUCCAGACUCCUACGGGAGGCAGCAGUGGGGAAUAUUGGACAAUGGGCGAAAGCCUGAUCCAGCCAUGCCGCGUGUGUGAAGAAGGUCUUCGGAUUGUAAAGCACUUUAAGUUGGGAGGAAGGGCAGUAAGUUAAUACCUUGCUGUUUUGACGUUACCAACAGAAUAAGCACCGGCUAACUUCGUG
rnacentral:rRNA from 1 species